rnacentral:rRNA from 1 species
CCCUUAGAUGUUCUGGGCUGCACGCGCGCUACACUGAUGCACUCAACGAGUUUACGACCUUGCCCCAUAGGGUUGGGUAAUCUUUUUAAAAUGCAUCGUGAUGGGGAUAGAUUAUUGCAAUUAUUAAUCUUCAACGAGGAAUUCCUAGUAAGCGCGAGUCAUCAGCUCGUGCUGAUUACGUCCCUGCCCUUUGUACACACCGCCCGUCGCUCCUACCGAUUGAGUGCUCAGGUGAAUAAUUCGGACUGCAGCAAUGUUUGGAUCCCGAACGUUGCAGCGGAAAGUUUAGUGAACCUUAUCACUUAGAGGAAGGAGAANUCGUAACA